UUAUCCCACUUUCAAAUCAGUUGAUUCCAGUUUCCCAGUUGAUUCCAGUUUCCCAGUUUGGGAAUAAGACAACUUCUUCGUUGUUCCAAUCGAACCAGGAUGAAUCACUUUGUAAGAAGCUUGAUUUGGAUACAUAAAGUGGUGGAGAAUCACCUGGAAGUUAAAUAAAUCUCAUAGGAGUAGGGAAGAAGAAGUUAUCCCUUUUUACAAAUCAAGUGAUUCUAGUUUCCCAGUUUGGUAAUGAGACAACUGCUUCAUCGUUCCAAUCGAACUAGGAUGAACCACUUUAUAAGAAGCCUGAUAUGGAUACAUAAAGUGGUGGAGAAUGACCAGGAAGUUGAAUAAAUCUCAUAGGAGUAGGGAAGAAGAAGUUAUUCCACUUUCAAAUCAGUUGAUUCCAGUUUUCCAGCUUGGGAAUAAGACAACUUCUUCGUCGUUCCAAUCGAACCAGGAUGAAUCACUUUGUAAGAAGCUUGAUAUGGAUACAUAAAGUGGUGGAGAAUGACCAGGAAGUUGAAUAAAUCUCAUAGGAGUUGGGAAGAAGAAGUUAUCCCACUUUCAAAUCAGUUGAUUCCAAAUUCCCAGUUUGGGAAUAAGACAACUUCUUCGUCGUUCCAAUCGAACUAGGAUGAAUCACUUUGUAAGAAGCUUGAUAUGGAUACAUAAAGUGGAGGAGAAUGACCAGGAAGUUGAAAAAAAUCUCAUAGGAGCUGGGAAGAAGAAGUUAUCCCACAUUCAAAUUAGUUGAUUCCAGUUUCCUAGUUAGGAAUAAGACAACUUCUUCGUCGUUCCAAUCGAACCAGGAUGAAUCACUUUUUUAGAAGCUUGAUAUGGAUACAUAAACUGGUGUAGAAUGACCAGGAAGGUGAAAAAAAUCUCAUAGGAGCUGGGAAGAAGAAGUUAUCACACUUUCAAAUCAGUUGAUUCCACUUUUCCAAUUUGGGAAUAAGACAACUUCUUCGUCGUUCCAAUCGAACCAGGAUGAAUCACUUUUUUAGAAGCUUGAUAUGGAUACAUAAACUGGUGUAGAAUGACCAGGAAGUUGAAAAAAAUCUCAUAGGAGCUGAGAAGAAGAAGUUAUCCCACAUUCAAAUCAGUNNNNNNNNNNNNNNNNNNNNNNNNNNNNNNNNNNNNNNNNNNNNNNNNNNNNNNNNNNNNNNNNNNNNNNNNNNNNNNNNNNNNNNUAUCCCUUUUUACAAAUCAGGUGAUUCUACUUUCCCAGUUUGGGAGUAAGACAACUUCUUCAUCGUUCCAAUCGAACUAGGAUGAAUCUCUUUGUAAGAAGCUUGAUAUGGAUACCUAAAGUGGUGCAGAAUGACCAGGAAGUUGAAAAAUAUUUCAUAGGAGCUGAGAAGAAGAAGUUAUCCCACAUUCAAAUUAGUUGAUUCCAGUUUCCCAAUUUGGGAAUAAGACAACUUCUUCGUCGUUCCAAUCGAACUAGGAUGAAUCACUUUGUAAGAAGCUUGAUAUUGAUACCUAAAGUGGUGUAUAAUGACCAGGAAGUUGAAAAAAAAUCUCAUAGGAGUUGGGAAAAAGGAGUUAUCCCACUUUCAAAUCAGUUGAUUCCGGUUUCCCAGUUUGGGAAAAAGACAACUUCUUCGUCGUUCCAAUCGAACCAGGAUGAAUCACUUUGUAAGAAGCUUGAUAUGGAUACAUAAAGUGGUGGAGAAUGACCAGAAAGUUGAAAAAAAUCUCAUAGGAGCUGGGAAGAAGAAGUUAUCCCACUUUCAAAUCAGUUGAUUCCAGUUUCCCAGUUUGAGAAUAAGACAACUUCUUCGUUGUUCAAAUCGAACCAGGAUGAAUCACUUUGUAAGAAGCUUGAUUUGGAUACAUAAAGUGGUGGAGAAUCACCUGGAAGUUGAAUAAAUCUCAUUGGAGUAGGGAAGAAGAAGUUAUCCCUUUUUACAAAUCAGGUGAUUCUAGUUUCCCAGUUUGGGAAUAAGACAACUUCUUCAUCGUUCCAAUCGAACUAGGAUGAACCACUUUGUAAGAAGCCUGAUAUGGUUACAUAAAGUGGUGGAGAAUGACCAGGAAGUUAAAUAAAUCUCAUAGGAGUUGGGAAGAAGAAGUUAUCCCACUUUCAAAUCAGUUGAUUCUAGUUUCCCAGUUUGGGAAUAAGACAACUUCUUCGUCGUUCCAAUCGAACUAGGAUGAAUCCCUUUGUAAGAAGAUUGAUAUGGAUACAUAAAGUGGUGGAGAAUGACCAGGAAGUUGAAAAAAAUCUCAUAGGAGCUGGGAAGAAGAAGUUAUCCCACUUUCAAAUCAGUUGAUUCCAGUUUCCCAGUUAGGGAAUAUGACAACUUCUUCGUCGUUCCAAUCGAACCAGGAUGAAUCACUUUAUAAGAAGCUUGAUCUGGAUACAUAAAGUGGUGGAGAAUGACCAGGAAGUUGAAAAAAAUCUCAUAGAAGCUGGGAAGAAGAAGUUAUCCCACUUUCAAAUCAGUUGAUUCCAGUUUUCCAAUUUGGGAAUAAGACAACUUCUUCGUUGUUCCAAUCGAACCAGGAUGAAUCACUUUGUAAGAAGCUUGAUAUGGAUACAUAAACUGGA
rnacentral:lncRNA from 1 species